ensembl:lncRNA
UGCAGAACCCAAAUGGAAGCACAAGAGAGUUAAAUCCCAUUGGGAAUAUUGGGAAAUAUAAGCUGGCAGAUAAGCUUUUCCCUUUCAUGCCCCUCCAGAGGACUGUCAAAGUCUCAAUAGUUUUUGAGGACCUUAGGAAGAUAGCACCAUGUGAUAGUGGGAUGGAACACUUACUUGGGCAUGGUACAAAAUGCUGAGCCAGCUCAGUGCCAUCAUAUCACAUUGGGUCCCCUUCCUAACCUCACGUUCCCAUUUGCCUUCCUCCCAGUUUCCCUAAGAUCAAAUUUUCUAGUAAUGCUUUAAACUCUGUUUUUCUGGGGGAGCCAGGUUAAGACAGGUUUCUCCUAUGGUUGGUUUUAUAGGAUUUUCUCUGAAUCACCUGGGACACUUGUUAAAAAUACAGAUUCCAGGGACCCAUUCCAGAUCUAUGAUUAAAAUCUCUGGGUUUUAGAUCUAGUGCUGUGCAUUCCAAAAAGGUUCCGCUGGUGAUUCUCAUGCACAUGACAGUCUCAGAACUGUGAUGUUCCAGUGUUCCAGUCUAGGGUAAAAUGAGGAAGAAGGAUGGGGUAUGUGCCCUCAACAUCUUAUUUGCUUGGAACAACUAAGAAAUGUACAGCUAUGGCUUGCAAACCCACCUCUCAUCUUCCAAACUAUGAUACAUUUCCUGCCACAGGUGAACAAUUCCAGACACACAUGACUGCAAAAGAAAUCUUAAAGCCCAUUCAAGAAAGGUCAGGGCACUGCAGGUCAUUCUACAGGAAACAGAACUCACUGUGGUUAAAGAUAUCUAGGAAAUCUGGAAAGGAAUCCAAGCCUGUCCAACUCCAAAGCCAAAGAAAUGUUCAUGGUGAUUUUACAGAGACCCUGGAAUUAUCCAUUAUUUUGCCUGAGACACAUAGGUGGGUUCCUAUUAUACAUCCACAGUGCUUCACAGUCUCCCAAAAUUUAACACUUUUUAUCUCAUUCAAACCUCAGAACCUGACUUGUGAUGUAGGUGCUAUUUUUAAUUUUACAGAUAAGAAACCUCGAGACUCAGCGAAGUGAAGAGACCUAUUAAUCAUGCAGCCGUGACCAUGCUGGAGCUCAGACCUCCUGACUCCAAGUCAUGUAUAUUGCUCCAUAUCCAGGGGUGAAAAAAGGAAUUUAGACUCUUACUGGAGCUGGUGAGACAACAAGCGUGGGUUGAGGACAGUUACCUGAAAAAUCUCUGUCUUUCAUAAAGUAAAAGAAACAUGGUUUUGUGUAAGCAAUGCAAACAGGAAUAUGCAAGUGUCAUGGCAGAAUGUAUGCAUGGUGUAUCUAUAAUUACACAGAGGCUUUGCAUUUAGAAAUCAUAUCAUUCAACUGUUUUACUGCCUAAAACGCUUCAGCAGAUUGAGAUGAUUUCAACCUGGUGGAAAAUGGUGAUCAUCUUUCGCACAUGUAAGAGGUCUUAGCAGCUCUCCCCUUUCCCUAGUUCACAUUUCUCUAAGCCCUCGAUUAAUUCUUCCAUUUGUAACAUGAAGAUGCCAUGGGGCUAUCACCAUCCAACUUUUCUGGACGUGAAUAAGAUAUAUUUGUUUUACCUUUUUGCCAAUACUUUGACCAGGAAAUGCUUAAAAUCACGCUACAGAUUUUGCAAGCAGACAUUGUCUGUUUCAGGCUCAGUGGCAUCUAUUGUCGGUAGACAUAAACUUCAAUCCUCUCCUUAAGACUUGCCUUUUCUUUGCCAGUGCGGUUGCAUGUCCUACACUAAAUGAUGUGUCCUGGCUCCUCUGUACCAGGUUGGGUGUGCAAGGGCACAGAUAAAAACUGUCAUUACUUAAAAAAAAAAAAACAAAAACUGUCAUUACUUGUUAGUACUGUAAAUUUCCAAAGGCUGCUUGCCCUUGCCAUGUUCUAUGCUAGAUGUCGGCAGGAUGAAUCAAAACCCAUCCCUGCCUCUCAAGGAACUUACAGUGAGGUGAAAGACCGAAAAUAAACAAAUUGUUUGGCGAAUGAACA